UACGUAGGGGGCGAGCGUUGUCCGGAAUUAUUGGGCGUAAAGGGUUCGUAGGCGGUUAUUUAAGUCAGAUGUGAAAGGCAUAGGCUCAACCUGUGUAAGCAUUUGAAACUGAGUAACUUGAGUUAAGGAGAGGAAAGUGGAAUUCCUAGUGUAGCGGUGAAAUGCGUAGAUAUUAGGAGGAAUACCAGUGGCGAAGGCGACUUUCUGGACUUAUACUGACGCUGAGGAACGAAAGCGUGGGGAGCAAACAGGAUUAGAUACCCCUGUAGUCCCUGAGCGGG
rnacentral:rRNA from 1 species